rnacentral:misc_RNA from 1 species
GGGAGAAACAAAUCUUCAUUGAUCUAUUAUCCAAGACACGGAAACUACUCCUUCCUCUAUUAUUUAUUUACAUUCAACAGAGUAGGGCCUAUUCCAUGAAUAACGCCAACUACUUAAUAACUCAAUAACUUCUUUAAUAGAUUCUCUUAAUAGCCUAACAAAACUCCCAACGAUACUCUGUAUUCUCAUAACAAUACUCCCCCGCUCAAGCUUCCUUGUCCCUAAGGAAGGAACAAGUAAACCAGCUGUAAUGUUGAAGCUAAGUGACCACUAGAAGAAGAAGCAUGGAUCAUGGCCAGGAACUAUUGACGUGAAUUACUGUCAUGUCCUACCUUCAAGUGCCUUUUAUUCACAGUUGUUGGUUUUACCAUUGGAAAGCAGCAUGAGACGAUUCUUUUCCAUAACAUUGACAUUUUUUUCAGCAAUAAGGGCACAAUCUUCACCUCAUCAAAUCUCUUCCCCUGCCUUCUCCACUUCUCAAAUUCAUCUUCUUUAAGGAUAAUGUGAUCAUGUGAAAGAAACCCAAAAUCAUUGUCACCCAAUUCAAAAUCACCACAAUUCUUGUAUCUUCUUUUUCUGCCAAUCCCUUCUCUUUGCUUCUCAGUUUUUCUGGCAACAAGAACAUAUUCUCCACCUCCGUAUACCAUAAAUGAUUUAGGGACAGAAAUUAUACCAUUACUGUAAUGGAUAAAAGAACUUUGAUUAAUUGCAAUUUCAGGAUGAUCCAACUUCCUAAGAAGAGAUUUCAGAUUUCCUGCAGGAAAAAUGGGUAGUUUUGGUAGUUCAGAUGUUGACAGUGGGCUAGAUUGAUCCUUAGUAACAAUAGGUUUAGCCAAAUUGGAUUAGGGAUUGGGUGGAAUAAGAGGAAAUGAAGUAUUAACAAAGAUUAUGGGUUUGGUAACUAGUUUGGCCUUAUUCCUAAUUGUUGCCAUAGUUAUCUCUUGCAACCUAGCCAGUAAAUAUGCCUUUGCAAGUAUCCUUGGAUUAAACAUUCUCACUGAAAUUUGCAACUCAUCAACUAAUCCAGAAAGAAAAUAACUCAACCCUUCACUUUCUUGAAUCCCCGCUUUUGAAUACAACUGCUCUAAAGAAUCCAUGCAAUCUUGCAAGAUAGAUUCUUGUUUCAAAUUUUUUAUAUCCUCUAAUGGAUCUUCCAUUGCUCCUGUAGGUUCUCCUUGAGUCACAUUAAUAGCAAUCUCCAUAUUCCUCAAACUUAAACCAUUAAGCAAGGUUUUAAUUUCUCCCAAAGCUUCUUGGUGUCGUUGCUCUGCUUCCUUUCGCAAAACCUCCUGCCUUUGCUCUAAUUCUUGCAUCAUUAUUGUCAGCUUCCUUUCCCAUUCAGGAAUACCCUCCUCCAUGGCCAAGGAAUCGACAAGCUCUGAUACCAUUGUUACAUGUUUUUUUCAAUCACAGAAAUACAAGAGCAGAAAGAACAGAGAACAGAAAGAGAGAAUCAAUAGAAUUCAGAGAGAGAAACAAAUCUUCAUUGAUUUAUUAUCCAAGACUU